rnacentral:tRNA from 1 species
GCCCCUUUAGUUCAGUGGCAGAACAGUGGUAUCGUAAACCACUUACGUCAGUUCGAUUCUGGCAGGGGGCU